UACGUAGGGACCAAGCGUUGUUCGGAUUUACUGGGCGUAAAGGGCGCGUAGGCGGCGCGGUAAGUCACUUGUGAAAUCUCUGAGCUUAACUCAGAACGGCCAAGUGAUACUGCAGUGCUAGAGUGUGGAAGGGGCAAUCGGAAUUCUUGGUGUAGCGGUGAAAUGCGUAGAUAUCAAGAGGAACACCUGAGGUGAAGACGGGUUGCUGGGCCAAAACUGACGCUGAUGCGCGAAAGCCAGGGGAGCAAACGGG
rnacentral:rRNA from 1 species